GCAACUCCAUUGUAAAAACUCCAGUUUGAAACCUGCAGUCUCACCAGGCAUGCCUAACAGAGCCCACCAGUAUGGCUUCAAACAAGUCACUUCCCAUCACCCUAAUAAACAGAGUGAAGCCUCUGGUAGGCUGUCCUCACCUGAUAAGAGGAAGGUGAGAAAAUUAGGGUGGAGACCACCAGACCAGAUGUUUCUGACCCCAGGGUAAAUGAUAUCAUGAAGAAAUCUGGUGGUAGCUGUUAAGGAUUGAAAUGAGGAUCAAAAGCCCCAAAAUUUAGUAUAAAUAAUAGAGCUAAUGAAUAGGAAUUCAGCCAGCGAAACAAGGAUGCACUUGAGCUGGAGAGCCUAAUGAGGACCUGGACUGACAUCCCAUCGUUUGUCAUCAUUUUCCUGAUCCUCUGAAUGAUCCUCACCGCUCUCAAACUCUACCUUCUCGUCUGGACCCAGGUGAGAGCCGCAACUUCUCCCUACAACCCUUUCUUCAACCAGUCGUCCACUCCACCAGGAAAAGCCUGCCUUGGUCCCGGACCUGGUCACCACAGUCUGAGUGAGUGUGCAUCUGCUGGACUUAAAGCCUAAGACUUAAAACUUUUGAUCUGACUUUUGAACUUAGCAUGCACAGGGAAUGUCUGUCAUUAGCCUGUCAUGAUUAAGUGUGUUUGCAAUGCUUAGAAUUAAUCUAGAAUUGUUUGCUAGGAAUUAAUUAAUCUAGAACUGUUUGCUGUGAAUUGAUUAUGUCUAUUGCAGUACCUAGCAUUAAAGAUUG
rnacentral:lncRNA from 1 species